rnacentral:lncRNA from 11 species
UCAGGCGUCCUUGAGGCUUGAGCUUGGUGUGCAGCUGCAGAGUCCUCUAAGUAACUUUGUUUUAGUAAGAUAGAUUCACCUACUGGCUUUGGAGAUGUUUUCUUUCUUUUACAAUCCUUCUUAUCAUCUUGAGAGCCCUGAACAGUUGACCUGGCAUUCAGAGGAUGGCAAAGGAGGGCUGGAGAAACAGUGCCAGCUUGCAGCAGUGUGCCUGGAGUCAACAACGCAAGAAAAGUGUGAGCUGUGGAAGAACAGGAUUCUACUGUGACUAAUCCUACAGCAGCUGUGCCUGUGUACAGGAUGUAAGGUAAACAGCAAUCUCUUGCCACUUUUUUUGUGGAGCAAGGGUGAACAGAAAAGAGAAAA